ensembl:snRNA U6 U6 spliceosomal RNA
GUUCUCACUUUGGCAAUACAUAUGCUAAAAUCGAAAAAACACAGAGAAGGUUAGUAUGGCCCUUGCGCAAGGAUGACAUGCAAAUUCAUGGAGUGUUCAUAUUUUUG